GGUGGCGCUUGGUUUUCUUCUCCGUUCCUCUGCUUCACGCAAUCGCCGGCGCCCCUGCGAUCCAGGGCCAUCAGCCAGACGCCGUGAAGACCGAGCAAUCCUUCCCCGAGAGAGCGGAGAGCUCGACGCUGGCUGCCGUCGUUCGCCGAGUACGUAGCGUCGACAGUCGCCGGAACCUGCGUCCCCGUCUCUAGCUCGACAAUAGGUAUGGUAAAAUCGAUCCGUUACCCUCUGUGGGUGAAGCCUGAUGCAAGCACAUCCUUUUCUCCUUCGAGCGUCAACAUCUGCGACGCCCUUCCACGGAGCUAUAGAAGCCACGCCGUGAACGAAGCCGGUGGCAGCGUGCACGGGCUAUCCGCGGACCUGUUUUUUCCUCGCUCCCCUUUGCGAUCUCGCUCCCAUCUGCGAUCAAGGUGACGCAAGGAUCUAAACUCAACUUUCCGGUGAUGGUAGAAGCCAGCGUGGGAGACUCAAUAAUCAGGCGAAUCUAGAAAAAGAAGACUCCACAAUCAUGCGUCCAGUCCCGUCGACUACCAUCUAGACAGGUUCAUCUUCCUGUCACUCGCCGGAGCCGGAGACUUGGAGACCUGACGCUGCUCGCCGGAGUCUGCGAUCGUAUUAUAUAUCUAUGUUUAAUACAUGCCAGCCUCACAAGUGUGUAAAAGCUAACCUUCAGUCAUUUCCACGGCAGUUAUAGAAACAAGAAACAAUAAAAGUAUGACUUGAUCAUAAAUCAGGAAACAAUUAUUUCAUCUACUAGAAGCACUUGCACCAGAAUAUUGUUUAGUUAAUUGCGUGCUGCACAGGCUUAUUUAAGUUACUGAUAUCUUUUUUUAUCAGCACAAACUAUUUGAGCUUAAGGGGAGCUUGCAGAAGCUUUUUUUUUAGUAAAGAGUAAAGAGAGAUUUUAUUGAUUACUCAUGGAAAUGUUACAAUCAAGAGCAAUCAACUGCUCGAUAGAGUUAGGAUAACAGCCUCGCCGCACAGCACUGUGGUUCAGGUGCUUCGCCAUCUGUGCAAGAUCAUCGGCUCCUAAAUUCCUAUCUCUAUUUACAUGAUUCAACUCAAAACCUGGCAAUCUACUAGCCGCAUGAGAAGCCUCAUAGAUAAUGGAGAGACAUGCAGGCUUCAAGACCAUCUGAUUCAAAAUGAAGGAAGUGAACACACACACACACACACACUGUGACACACACACAAAAAAGACUGAUCUGAUCACAAAUAAUACCAAUAUACCAUGUGUCAACACGAAAAUUAGAGUAGCCGUUCUUUCAGCUAGCUUCUGACCCGUACACGUUGCCAUUUGGAGACUGAAGUUUCAGGAAAACAAAAUGUUGAAUGUGUCCACCUAAA